GGGAAUGUGGCUUAGUGGUAGAGUGCUUGCUUAGUAUGCAUGAAGUCCUGGGUUCAAUUCCUCAGUACCA
rnacentral:tRNA from 1 species